rnacentral:rRNA from 1 species
UUAGGAGGGGGACAACAGUUGGAAACGACUGCUAAUACCCCGUAUGUCUAUGGAUGAAAGGAGAAAUCCGCCUGAGGAGGAGCUCGCGACUGAUUAGCUAGUUGGUAGUGUAAUGGACUACCAAGGCGACGAUCAGUAGCUGGUCUGAGAGGAUGAUCAGCCACACUGGGACUGAGACACGGCCCAGACUCCUACGGGAGGCAGCAGUGGGGAAUUUUCCGCAAUGGGCGAAAGCCUGACGGAGCAGAUACCGCGUGUGGGAGGACGGCCUACUGGUUGUAAACCACUUUUCUCAGGGAAGAAGAACUGACGGUACCUGAGGAAUCAGCAUCGGCUAACUCCGUGCCAGCAGCCGCGGUAAUACGGAGGAUGCAAGCGUUAUCCGGAAUUGUAUUGGGCGUAAAGCGUCCGUAGGUGGUUAUGCAAGUCUGCUGUUAAAGAGUGGAGCUUAACUCCAUAGAGGCGGUGGAAACUGCAUAGCUAGAGAGUGGUAGGGGUAGAGGGAAUUCCCAGUGAUAGCGGUGAAAUGCGUAGAUAUUGGGAAAGAACACCGGUGGCGAAAGCGCUCUACUGGGCCCACAUCUGAUCUCUACGGGUGAGUAAACCCGA